AGUCGAACUUCGGGCUCUGUCAGCCGGUCCGCCUUCUUGGUGUGUACUUGUUUGACGGAGCCUUACCUCCUGGUGAACGGCGAUGUCCUUUACUGGGUGUCGUCGCAAACCAGGACUUUUACUUUGAAAAAAUUAGAGUGUUCAAAGCAGGCCUUUGCCCGAAUACAUUAGCAUGGAAUAAUAAAAUAGGACGCGCGUUCCCAUUUUGUUGGUUUCUGAGAUCGCCGUAAUGAUUAAUAGGGAUAGUUGGGGGCAUUUGUAUUCCGUCGUCAGAGGUGAAAUUCUUGGAUUGCCGGAAGACAAACUACUGCGAAAGCAUUUGCCAAGGAUGUUUUCAUUGAUCAAGAACGAAGGAAGGGGGAUCGAAAACGAUUAGAUACCGUUGUAGUCUCUUCUAUAAACUAUGCCAAUUGGGGAUCGGUACAGGAUUUUUAAUGACUGUAUCGGCACCCGAAGAGAAAUCUUUAAAUGAGGUUCGGGGGGGAGUAUGGUCGCAAGGCUGAAACUUACAGGAAUUGACGGAAGGGCACCACCAGGUGUGGAGCCUGCGGCUUAAUUUGACUCAACACGGGGAAACUCACCAGGUCCAGACACAAUAAGGAUUGACAGAUUGAUAGCUCUUUCUUGAUCUUGUGGUUGGUGGUGCAUGGCCGUUCUUAGUUGGUGGAGUGAUUUGUCUGGUUAAUUCCGAUAACGAACGAGACCUUAACCUGCUAAAUAGACCAGCCGGCUUUGGCUAGCUGCUGUCUUCUUAGAGGGACUAUCAGCGUUUAGCUGAUGGAAGUUUGAGGCAAUAACAGGUCUGUGAUGCCCUUAGAUGUUCUGGGCCGCACGCGCGCUACACUGACAGAGCCAGCGAGUCUACCACCUUUGCCGGAAGGCAUGGGUAAUCUUGUGAAACUCUGUCGUGAUGGGGAUAGAACAUUGCAAUUAUUGUUCUUCAACGAGGAAUACCUAGUAAGCGUGAUUCAUCA
rnacentral:rRNA from 1 species